CCCCAGAAAUCACACACUGUCAUUUCCAUCACAUUUAGUUUAUUAAAAGCAAGUCCCAGCCAGGUGUGGUGGCUCAUGCCUGUAAUCCCAGCACUUUGGGAGGCCGAGGCAGGCGGAUCACUUGAGGUUAGCAGUUUGAGACCAGCCUGACCAACAUAGAAAAACCCCAUCUCUACUAAAAAUACAAAAUUAGCCAGGCAGCAGGGUGUGGUGGCUCACACCUGUAAUCCCAACACUUUGGGAGGCCAAGGCAGGUGGAUCACAAGGUCAGGAGUUCAAGACCAGCCUGGCCAAGAUGGUGAAACCCUGUCUCUAUUAAAAAUACAAAAAUUAGCCAGGUAUGGUGGUGGGUGCCUGUAAUCCCAGCUACUCUGGAGGCUGAGGCAGGAGAAUCGCUAGAACCCAGGAGGCAGAGGUUGCAGUGAGCCGAGAUCACUUUACUGCCCUCUGGCCUGGGCAACAGAGUGAGACUCCAUCUCAAAAAAAAAAAAAAAAAAAAAAUUAGCCAGGCGUAGUGGUGCAUGCCUGUAAUCCCAGCUACUCUAGAGGCUAAGGCAGGAGAGUCACUUGAACCCAGGAGGUGGAGGUUGCAGUGAGCCAAGAUCACGCCACUGCACUCCAGCCUGGGCAACAGAGCGAGACUCUGUCUCCAAAAAAAAAAAAAAAAAAAUUAUUUUCACUUUUUCUGGCCAGGAACCUUGCUAGAUGCGAUAGGUCCAGAAAUUAAAAACUGUCCUGCUCUUGAGAAAACAGCAGGUUAGGCCAUGUGUGGUGGCUCAUGCCUGAAAUUCUAGUGCUUUUGGAGGCCGAGGUGGGAAGAUUGCUUGAGGCCAGGAGUUCGAGAUCAGCCUGGGUAACAGAGUGAGACUCUGUGUCUACCAAAAGUAAAAAAAAUUAGCCAGGCAUGGUGGUGCAAACUUGUAGUCUCAGCUAUUUGGGAGGCUGAGAUGGGAGGAUCACUUGAACCCAGGAGUUGGAGGCUGCAGUGAACUACGAUCACACCACUGCACUCCAGUCUGGGUGACAGAAUAAGACCCAGUCUCUAAAAACAAAACAAAACAAAAAACCAAAAAAAAAAAAAAAAAAAAACCAAAAAAAAAAAAAGAAAGAAAGAAAGAGAAGAAAGAAAAGAAAUGAGUGUAGAAAGGGAUCCUUUAAGAUGAAAUCGAUGCCUCCUCAUGGAGUUCUAAGCCCUCAGAAGUGGAAGUCAACUGGAGUGUGCAAUUUUCUAUCUUUCAACUAACCCAACAGUUUCUACCUCACCCUCCUGCCUUCCUAAGACUCUGUGCACACACCCACCAGAGUGUUAUCACAUUGCAAGACAGAACCCAAUUGUCUUCUUUAUCUCCUCUACCGGACUUUGUGCUCCAUCAGUUGAAGAGUAGGAUGAAGAAAAAAAAAAAGGUUACAUGAAGAUGAUGGAAUUAUAAUCAGGCCUUGAAGAACGGAGACAAUUCCAGCCAUUGUUGUAGAUGUGGAGGCUGAAGGACAUUCCAAUUUGAAGGAACAGAAGAUGGGAUCUCACUCUGCUGCCCAGGCUGGUCUCCUCCUGCCUUGGCCUCCCAAAGUGUUGGAAUUACAAGUGUGAGCCACUGUGCCUGGCCCUGAAUAAGUUUCUUGACCCAGAGUUCCUGAAGAGGAGGACGGGAACCUUGGAGGCUGUUUCUCCAGGCUGAGAUGUGGGUCUCCCUACAUUGCCCAUGCUGGUCUCGGACACCGGAGCUCAAGUGAUCCUGCCUUGGCCUACCAAAGGGCUGGAAUUACAGGAAUGAGCCACUGCAUCAGGCCAACUUGCUACAUUUUAUACUUUCAACUAAUAAGGAAUUCUGGAAGCAGCAUCUACCUCUAUUUUAGCAGGGCUUUUUUCACUGCAAGAAACAAAAAAGUUCACUCAACAAAGCUCAGUGAUGGAGUCUUGUUGUGUUGCCCAGCCUGGCGUCUAACCCCUGGCCUCAAGCGAUCUUCCUGCCUUGGCCUCCCAAAGUGCUGGAAGUAUAGGCAUGAGUCACCACGCCCAGCCAAAUUUGUGUCUUAUUUUUAAUAAAUUUGGACGUGGUCGUAAUUUAAAGAGUUAAAUACUUCCAAAGGCAUGUUAGAAAAAAGAGAAGAUCCUUUUCAACUCUCCUCCAUUUUCAGCUCCUCAGAAAGUCAGAAUCUCAAAAUGUCGCCCAGGCUGGUCUCGAACUCCUAGCCUCAAGUGGUCCUCCUAUCUCAAUCUCCCAAAGUGCUGGGAUUACAGGCAUGGGCCACCAUGCCUGGCCUUUCCUAUAAAAUUGUGAGUGCAAUGCACCUUGUCCUUCUAUCUUCCAGGGUUGCUAUUAAAAAUCCUAAUAUAGGUCAUUUGUUCGUACUCUUAGGAACUUGUAAGAUAUUUUUUUAUCUCUACCAUUCUAAAUUUCACAAGGAUAUGCUUU